rnacentral:snoRNA from 1 species
UCUGGGUUGAUGAUGCUAUCACUGCGUUAUCUACCCGCAAUCCCCUCAAGGAAUUGAGGAAAACUAUGACAUACUGAAACCCAGG